rnacentral:rRNA from 1 species
AUGGGAAAAAGAGCGAGCUCGAAAGCGGGGAAAAAGGCCGCCGUCGCCGGCGCCGGCGCCAAUGACAGAAAAGAGCGGCGCGAUGAGACAGAGGCGCAGAAGGUAGAGCGGCUGCAGGCAACUCUGGCGUUUGUGAAGGCGGCGCACGCGGACGCCAUGCUUUACCUUGACAUGGAGGAGGAGGACGUGGAGGAGGAGUACCGGAGGGCGGGCAGGCUCCACACCUACGACCAGGACAAUGAGUGGAAGAAGCGUUUGGCCAGGGUCGCCAAACUCUACCCGCCUCCCAAGCACAUCAUGGAAGAGAUCAGUGAAUAUACCAAGUACCUCGAGGAAGACGAGGACGACUUCAGGAUAGGCCUUUGUCAAUUGAUCGAGGUGAAAUCAGAUUUUGAGAAAUCUUUUUAG